rnacentral:rRNA from 1 species
CAGGCCUAACACAUGCAAGUCGAACGAUGGUCUUCGGAUCAUAGUGGCGCACGGGUGCGUAACGCGUGGGAAUCUGCCCCUUGGUUCGGGAUAACUUCUGGAAACGGAAGCUAAUACCGGAUGAUGACGUAAGUCCAAAGAUUUAUCGCCAUGGGAUGAGCCCGCGUCGGAUUAGCUAGUUGGUGGGGUAAAGGCCUACCAAGGCGACGAUCCGUAGCUGGUCUGAGAGGAUGAUCAGCCACACUGGGACUGAGACACGGCCCAGACUCCUACGGGAGGCAGCAGUGGGGAAUAUUGGACAAUGGGCGCAAGCCUGAUCCAGCAAUGCCGCGUGAGUGAUGAAGGCCUUAGGGUUGUAAAGCUCUUUUACCCGGGAUGAUAAUGACAGUACCGGGAGAAUAAGCCCCGGCUAACUCCGUGCCAGCAGCCGCGGUAAU